GAUGAAGAACGUAGCGAAAUGCGAUAAGUAGUGUGAAUUGCAGAAUUCAGUGAAUCAUCGAAUCUUCGAACGCACAUUGCGCCCCUUGGUAUCCCGAGGGGCAUGCCUGUUCGAGCGUCAUUUCACCACUCAAGCCUGGCUUGGUGUUGGGCGACGUCCUCUUUGGGGACGCGCCUCGAAACGCUCGGCGGCGUGGCACCGGCUUUAAGCGUAGCAGAAUCUUUCGCUUUGGAAGUCGGGGCCCCGUCUGCCGGAAGACCUGCUCGCAAGGUUGACCUCGGAUCAGGCAGGGAUACCCGCUGAACUUAAGCAUAUCAAUAAGCGGAGGA
rnacentral:misc_RNA from 1 species